rnacentral:rRNA from 1 species
GUACACUCCUACGGGAGGCAGCAGUGGGGAAUUUUGGACAAUGGGCGAAAGCCUGAUCCAGCAAUGCCGCGUGAGUGAAGAAGGCCUUCGGGUUGUAAAGCUCUUUUGUCAGGGAAGAAACGGUGAAAGCUAAUAUCUUUUGCUAAUGACGGUACCUGAAGAAUAAGCACCGGCUAACUACGUGCCAGCAGCCGCGGUAAUACGUAGGGUGCAAGCGUUAAUCGGAAUUACUGGGCGUAAAGCGUGCGCAGGCGGUUUUGUAAGUCUGAUGUGAAAUCCCCGGGCUCAACCUGGGAAUUGCAUUGGUGACUGCAAGGCUAGAAUCUGGCAGAGGGGGGUAGAAUUCCACGUGUAGCAGUGAAAUGCGUAGAUAUGUGGAGGAACACCGAUGGCGAAGGCAGCCCCCUGGGUCAAGAUUGACGCUCAUGCACGAAAGCGUGGGGAGCAAACAGGAUUAGAAACCCUGGUAGUCCC